GAGGAAUAUUGGUCAAUGGGCGAGAGCCUGAACCAGCCAAGUCGCGUGAAGGAAGACGGCCCUAUGGGUUGUAAACUUCUUUAUAAGGGAAUAAAAGAAGGGACGUGUCCCUUUUUGCAUGUACCUUAUGAAUAAGCAUCGGCUAACUCCGUGCCAGCAGCCGCGGUAAUACGGAGGAUGCGAGCGUUAUACGGAUUUAUUGGGUUUAAAGGGUGCGUAGGUGGGAAAGUAAGUCAGCGGUGAAAUCUUGUGGCUUAACCAUAAGCUUGCCGUUGAAACUGUUUUUCUUGAGUAUGCUUGCUGUAGGCGGAAUGCGUGUUGUAGCGGUGAAAUGCAUAGAUAUCACGCAGAACUCCGAUUGCGAAGGCAGCUUACAAAAGCAUAACUGACACUGAAGCACGAAAGCGUGGGUAUCAAAC
rnacentral:rRNA from 1 species